GCGCGCCGCGCACCCCGGCGCGCACCCCGGUGCUCGUACACUCCGCACACGUCGCGCGCGCUCCAGCACGUUUGCG
rnacentral:tRNA from 1 species